AGUCAAAAUCUCUCCUAUUUCUCACUCUCUCUCAACCCUCUAUGCAAACAAGGAAGCAAUUUGCAUAAAUCGGAGCAAUGUCUUUUUACUGUUUCUUUAACAGAAGCAAGUCAACUGCACCAAAGAAUCACUGAGAGUGUAUACCAUGCACCAAUGGAUUCCUCCAAUGCAAGCAGGUAUAGCAGGAAAUCAUCAAGUAUAUAUGAAAGCAAAUCUGAGACAUCAAAUGUGGAAACAUCUAACAAUAAAAACAGGAAUUCCAGUCCCAGCGCAAGACAAAAGAGAGGUUGGCCCAGCAGGCAAAUGCCAUCUCUAGACACAUUUGAGGAUUUUGAAGCCAUCCCCUCCAGCACAGAUGAACUUUCCAACUCUUCUGACUUGGAGGAAGAGACCAACCCUAACAACGGGACCAAUCUUUUUCGGGUAGAAGGCAGUUUUGACAGCUGUUUUCCAGAUUCUUUUACACUCGAGGAUGGAGAUUUAGUGCAAUUUGUGCAGGAAGGAGAGAAUGGUCAAUGGUUAGUGAAGAAACUCAUCUCCGAGAAAAGCGACUGGGUUCCUUCCAGUAUAUUGCAGCCAGCAGAGGGGGACAGUAACAACAUAAUUAAGAACAGCAAUGCAGACAUGUACAACGAUUCCUGCAGUACAGCCUCAGUAGAGUCAGACACCAAGGAGAGUGAGGUGGCCAAAAGCUUCCCAGCAGAACAGAGGGCUGGCAGCUGAACAGCAGGACCCUCCUUCCUCAGGACCUCAUCCAUCUCUCUUUAAUUUUGGGUGGACACUGGAUUAAAGUUGCCUUUCUCACAAGCUCUGAGGUUCAUCAUUCGCUAAAACAUUAUCAGCAUGAACAUUUGAGAACUGUGCUGUCCACCUGGCAAGCUGGGAAACACAACCUUAAAAUGAGCAUUAAACAUCCAAAAAGGAUUGAAACCCAUUCUCAGUAUUAGAGGAGAAAAAUCCUUCUCAUAUUGAUUAUCAAACUGUUUCAGAAGAUGUGGCCUAAAUUAGGUCAACAGCAGAGCUGAAGAGUUACUAUGCACGCACCUUUUGGCAACUUCACUUGAACACCAAGUUACUGCAGAAGGGCACAUGCAUGGUUGAGUUCUUGCUCUACCAUGGGGUCACCUGGAGGUUUUUCUGUUUGCUGGCCUUUGGCUGUGCCUUCCCCAUCCUCCUUAAUUCCAGCUGAUACAUCACAAAUGUGCCCUUUUGAUGAUGGUCAACACCAAAACCAUCCCAUUUUAGGUGGUUGUGGUAAUGAAACUUCUGGCUUCGACCAUCAGAGAGGUUUUGGGCAUUAAUGAUAUGACUGCUUCUGGAAUGGCACAGCAAAUGUCCUGCUGCAUAGAGAAUUGUGUUGGAAUGAUACAGAUAGCAACUCCUGGCUAUGAGAUGGAGGUGCAGGACUUAGGGAAGCAAAGAUGUGUAACAGCUACUGUGACACAGAAUAUUUGAACUAUUUACAUUAUAAGUCGUACCCCUCCACCCUCUUCAGUCUGUGGUUGCUGGAUCACAAUCUUUUGCAUUUGGUGCUGAGAAUUCAAUUGAAUGCCAUUUUAUGUCGUAUGUUUGAUUAGACUGCAUGCUUUCUUUGUGUGCUGUGCUAUGGAGUAGAUACAUUUCAUCCCCUAUAUGGAAGAUACGUAACCAUUGCAAAUGGGCAGUGAGCCUUAGAUGCUCCAUCAAGUGGAUAGAUUGUUGUUCAAUACUUCUUUCCAGGACA
rnacentral:lncRNA from 14 species